rnacentral:lncRNA from 1 species
GGAAGAUAACUGAAUCAUGGGGGCAGUUUCCCCCAUACUGUCCUCAUGGUAGUGAAUAAGUCUCACCAGAUCUGAUGGUUUUGUAAAGGGGCAUUUCCCUGCACAAGCUUCCUCUUGCCUGCUGCCAUGUAAGAUGUGACUUUGUUCCUCCUUUGCCUUCUGCCUUGAUUGUGAGGACCCCUCAGCCACGUGGAACUAUUUUUGAAAUUCUUCCUCAGCAGUUGCUUCCUGCAGGAUCUGAAGUAACCCAUUGUGGGACAAUGUUUUUCCUAUUUAAGGAGAGAUGGACUUGAUUAGCCAUUAACAGAAACGUUUAGACGCUUGAUAUGUGUGGUGGUUAACACUGAGUGUCAACUUGAUUGGAUUGAAGAAUGCAAAGUAUUGUUCCUGGAUGUGUCUGUGUGGGUGUUGCCAAAGGAGAUUAACAUUUGAGUCAGUGGACUGGGAGAGACAGACCCACCCUCUAUCCAUGUGGUCACCAUCUAAUCAGCUGCAAGAGCAGCUAGAAUAAAGCAGGCAGAAGAAGCUGGAAGAACCAGACUUGCUGAGUCUUCCGGCCUUCAUCUUUCUCACAUGGUGGAUGCUUCCUGCCCUUGAACAUCAGACUCCAAUUUCUUCAGCUUUUGGACUCCUGGAUUUGCACCAGUGGUUUGCCUUUGUCCAUAGACUGCAAGCUGUACUACUGGCUUCCCUACUUUUGAGGUUUUGGGACUCAGACUGGCUUCCUUCCUCCUGAGCUUACAGACACUCUGUUGUGAGACUUCAAAUUGUGAUUGUAUGAGUCAAUACUCCUUAAUAAACUCUCUUUCAUAGAUAUUUCUGUCCUAUUAGGCCUGUCCCUCUAGAGAACCCUGACUAAUACAAUAUGUUUUUAUAUUUCUAAUAGAAAAUAGAAAAGUAUAGCUUAGGAAAUCCCAAGUUUGGGGACAUCAUCACUGGCAAUAAUUUUCUGUAAAGAAAAUAAAACUCAUAAUCCGGGUUGCUGGGAGAACAGUGACCUAGUAUAAUCCUGAAAAUUGACCAUGAAUACACCCUAUGUAUUCGUUUCUUAUUGCUGCUGUAACAAAUUACCACCUACUUAGUGGCUAAAAAAACUGGCUAGACAUAGUGGUUCAUGCUUGAAAUCCCAGCACUUUGGGAAGCUAAGGCAGGAGAAUCACUUGAUUCUGUGAGUUUUAGACCAGCCUUAGGAAACAUAGUGAGACCCCGACUCUAGUAAAUACUAAAAAUAAGCCAGCUGCAGCAGGCAGUUGAUGUCAGGGUAUCAUUUGAAUGCAGGCGUUUGAGGCUGCAGUGAGCUGUGAUUGUGCUACUAUGCUCCAGCCUGGACAGCAGAGUGAGACUCUAUCUCAAGGAAAAAAAAUUCACAUAUUUAUUACCUUACUGUUCUUGAGGUAAGUAAUGAUGUACAACAUUAGUCUUGUUGGGCUAUAAUCAAGGUGUGUGCAGGGUUGGUUCUUUCUGGAAUCUCUGCAAGAGAAUCUGUUUCCUUGCCUUUUACACCUUCUGGAAGCUGCUUGCAUUCCUGGGCUAGAGACCUCUUCCUCUCAUCACUCAACUCAGAUUAUCCAGGAUAUUCACCAUCCCAAGAUCCUCAAUUUAAUCACAUAGGCAAAGUCCUUUUCUGUGUAAAGUAAUAUAUUAACUAGUUCUGGGGUUAGGAUGUGGAAACCCUUUCUUUUCAACCCUCCUAAAAACAGAGAGAGAAACAUUGGAUGAUAGAAACCAUUGUCCAGACAUAAGAAGCAGUUUAUAAGUAACUUUGUUGUUCUGACUCAGAAAUCUGGAACUCUCCCAUAAAAUCCGUUAAUUAGUCUGAGACCAUACAAGAAAAAGGGAGUUGCCCUUGAUCUUUGAAAAAGAAUGUUUUAUGAAAUGAAAGGGCAAGUAAAAGCUGAGGAAAAAAAUUAGCAAGCUCAAAAUUAAUCUAGACAUAAUAUAUUUAUAUUAAUACUAUCCUCAAUUUGUUCUACCAACUAUGUUAUAAAAUCUUUCUGCUUGUUUUUUCUUUCAAAUAAGAGGAAAAAAAUUUGGUAGCAAGCAUGCUUUCUUUUAUACUCAAAAGUGAGAGUCCCUGAAGAAUUUGCUUUUUCCAAAUUAUAUAUGACAAGCAUGAAUUCAUAAUGUUUUUCUCAUCUAUUUUCUUUAAUAAAAAAUAUCUCAGUGUGAUGUUCAAGGAAAGGCUGCAAAUCUUAUAUAAAGAUAUUUCUUUUUAACUUAUAUCAUACAAACAAAAUAAAUUUAGAUAAAUGAAUUGCCUUGAAAAUUGUGAUAAUGAAUAAAACAGAACCUAUGCCUAAAGAAAAGGACACAGGAAUUGUUCAGGUUGACUUUUUGUUGUUGUUGCAGUUAUGUUUAGACUGUUAUAUUUCCCAAGUAAACUUCUUAUGAAAGAGAAAAAUUCUGAAUAGAGCCUAAGUUUGUGUUGUAAUUGACAGUAAAGUAAAG